rnacentral:lncRNA from 1 species
AGUGUAGCAUAUCUGAAGCUAAUUGAAAAAGUCAAUGCUGCUUAAAAUUUCCAAUUUAGUCGAGGCGGGGGUUUCACCAUAUUGGCCAGGCUGGUCUCGAACUCCUGAUCUCAGGUGAUUCACCCACCUCAGCCUCCCAGAGUGCUGGGAUUACAGACAUGAGCCACCGUGCCCAACUGAGAUUUGUUUUAAAAUGCUUUAAAAACUGGAGGUGGGGUAAGUGGGGAUAGAUCAUAUUUCAACCCCAAAUUUGGACAGAUUUGGCACUAUAGCUUUUAUA